CAGUCGCCGCGUAACACGUAGGGUGCGAGCGUUACUCGGAAUUACUGGGCGUAAAGCGUGCGUAGGUGGUGGUUUAAGUCCGUUGUGAAAGCCCUGGGCUCAACCUGGGAAUUGCAGUGGAUACUGGAUCACUAGAGUGUGGUAGAGGAUAGUGGAAUUUCCGGUGUAGCAGUGAAAUGCGUAGAGAUCGGAAGGAACAUCUGUGGCGAAGGCGACUAUCUGGGCCAACACUGACACUGAGGCACGAAAGCGUGGGGAGCAAACAGGAUUAGAUACCCGUGUAGUCCCUGUCUCUUAUACA
rnacentral:rRNA from 1 species